GGUGUGGCUCAGUUUGGCUAGAGCGCCUGGUUUGGGACCAGGAGGUCGCAAGUUCGAAUCCUGUCACC
rnacentral:tRNA from 1 species